rnacentral:rRNA from 1 species
AGUGAACGCUGGCGGUAGGCCUAACACAUGCAAGUCGAACGGCAGCACAGGAGAGCUUGCUCUCUGGGUGGCGAGUGGCGGACGGGUGAGGAAUACAUCGGAAUCUACUCUGUCGUGGGGGAUAACGUAGGGAAACUUACGCUAAUACCGCAUACGACCUACGGGUGAAAGCAGGGGAUCUUCGGACCUUGCGCGAUUGAAUGAGCCGAUGUCGGAUUAGCUAGUUGGCGGGGUAAAGGCCCACCAAGGCGACGAUCCGUAGCUGGUCUGAGAGGAUGAGCAGCCAAACUGGAACUGAGACACGGUCCAGACUCCUACGGGAGGCAGCAGUGGGGAAUAUUGGACAAGGGGCGCAAGCCUGAUCCAGCCAUACCGCGUGGGUGAAGAAGGCCUUCGGGUUGUGAAGCCCUUUUGUUGGGAAAGAAAUCCAGCUGGCUAAUAACCGGUUGGGAUGACGGUACCCAAAGAAUAAGCACCGGCUAACUUCGUGCCAGCAGCCGCAGUAA